GAGGAACAGAGAUCUAUGGCAUUUCCGCCCCUGAAAGUCUCCUUCCUCUCCGUGGGCCUGGAGGGAGAGUCAGGCCUCUUCACCCGCUGCACUCACCCACCUUCCCUCUCCUUUGUCCCACAGGCCCUGGUGAUCACCAAUGCAGCCAGAAAAUCCUCCACAGUCGGGGAGAUCGUCAACCUCAUGUCUGUGGACGCCCAGAGGUUCAUGGACUUGGCCACAUACAUUAACAUGAUCUGGUCAGCCCCCCUGCAAGUCAUCCUUGCUCUCUACCUCCUGUGGCUGAACCUGGGCCCUCCCAUCCUGGCUGGAGUGGCCGUGAUGGUCCUCAUGGUGCCCGUCAACGCUGUGAUGGCGUUGAAGACCAAGACGUAUCAGGUGGCCCACAUGAAGAGCAAAGACAAUCGGAUCAAGCUGAUGAAUGAAAUUCUCAAUGGGAUCAAGGUGCUAAAGCUUUAUGCCUGGGAGCUGGCGUUCAAGGACAAGGUGCUGGCCAUCAGGCAGGAGGAGCUGAAGGUGCUGAAGAAGUCUGCCUACCUGGCAGCCGUGGGCACCUUCACCUGGGUCUGCACACCCUUCCUGGUGGCCCUGUGCACGUUUGCUGUCUACGUGACCAUUGACAAGAACAACAUCCUGGAUGCGCAGAAAGCCUUCGUGUCUUUGGCCUUAUUCAACAUCCUCCGGUUUCCCCUGAACAUUCUCCCCAUGGUCAUCAGCAGCAUCGUGCAGGCAAGUGUCUCCCUCAAACGCCUGAGGAUCUUUCUCUCCCAUGAGGAACUGGAACCUGACAGCAUCGAGCGACGGCCUGUCAAAGACGGCGGGGACACGAACAGCAUCACCGUGAGGAACGCCACAUUCACCUGGGCCAGGAGCGACCCUCCCACGCUGAAUGGCAUCACCUUCUCCAUCCCAGAAGGUGCCUUGGUGGCCGUGGUGGGCCAGGUGGGCUGCGGAAAGUCGUCGCUUAUCUCAGCUCUCUUGGCCGAGAUGGACAAAGUGGAGGGGCACGUGGCUCUCAAGGGCUCGGUGGCCUAUGUGCCACAGCAGGCCUGGAUUCAGAAUGAUUCUCUCCAAGAAAACAUCCUUUUUGGACGUCAGCUGGAGGAACCAUAUUACAGGUCCGUGAUACAGGCCUGUGCCCUCCUCCCAGACCUGGAAAUCCUGCCCAGCGGGGAUCGGACAGAGAUUGGUGAGAAGGGCGUGAACCUGUCUGGGGGCCAGAAGCAACGCGUGAGCCUGGCCCGGGCCGUGUACUGCAACGCUGACAUUUACCUCUUCGAUGAUCCCCUCUCAGCAGUGGAUGCCCACGUGGGAAAACAUAUCUUUGAAAAUGUGAUUGGCCCCAAGGGGAUGCUGAAGAACAAGACGCGGAUCUUGGUCACACACGGCAUGAGCUAUUUGCCGCAGGUCGACGUCAUCAUCGUCAUGAGUGGCGGCAAGAUCUCUGAGAUGGGUUCCUACCAGGAACUGCUGGCCCGAGACGGCGCCUUCGCUGAGUUCCUGCGUACCUAUGCCAGUGCAGAGCAGGAGCAGGACCCAGAGGACAAUGGGGUCACGGGCAUCAGUGGUCCAGGGAAGGAAGCAAAGCAAACGGAGAAUGGCAUGCUGGUGACAGACAGUGCAGGGAAGCAAUUGCAGAGACAGCUCAGCAGCUCCUCCUAUAGCGGGGACAUCAGCAGGCAACACAACAGCACCGCGGAACUGCAGAAAGAUGGGGCCAAGAAGGAGGAGACGUGGAAGCUGAUGGAGGCUGACAAGGCACAGACAGGGCAGGUCAAACUUUCCGUGUACUGGGACUACAUGAAGGCCAUCGGACUCUUCAUCUCCUUUCUCAGCAUCUUCCUUUUCAUAUGUAACCAUGUGGCCGCGCUGUCUUCCAACUAUUGGCUCAGCCUCUGGACUGAUGACCCCAUAGUCAACGGGACCCAGGAGCACACGAAGGUCCGGCUGAGCGUCUAUGGAGCCCUGGGCAUUUCGCAAGGGAUCGCCGUGUUUGGCUACUCCAUGGCCGUGUCCAUCGGGGGCAUCUUGGCUUCCCGCUAUCUGCACGUGGACCUGCUGCAUAGCAUCCUGCGGUCACCCAUGAGCUUCUUUGAGCGGACCCCCAGUGGGAACCUGGUGAACCGCUUCUCCAAGGAGCUGGACACGGUGGACUCCAUGAUCCCAGAGGUCAUCAAGAUGUUCAUGGGCUCCCUGUUCAACGUCAUCGGUGCCUGCAUCGUUAUCCUGCUGGCCACGCCCAUCGCCGCGAUCAUCAUCCCGCCCCUCGGCCUCAUCUACUUCUUCGUCCAGAGGUUCUACGUGGCCUCCUCCCGGCAGCUGAAGCGCCUCGAGUCCGUCAGCCGCUCUCCAGUCUAUUCCCAUUUCAACGAGACCUUGCUGGGGGUCAGCGUCAUUCGAGCCUUCGAGGAGCAGGAGCGCUUCAUUCACCAGAGUGACCUGAAGGUGGACGAGAACCAGAAGGCCUAUUACCCUAGCAUCGUGGCCAACAGGUGGCUGGCCGUGCGGCUGGAGUGUGUGGGCAACUGCAUCGUUCUGUUUGCUGCCCUGUUCGCAGUGAUCUCCAGGCACAGCCUUAGUGCGGGCUUGGUGGGCCUCUCAGUGUCUUACUCAUUGCAGGUCACCACGUACUUGAACUGGCUGGUUCGGAUGUCAUCUGAGAUGGAAACCAACAUCGUGGCCGUGGAGAGACUCAAGGAGUAUUCAGAGACUGAGAAGGAGGCGCCUUGGCAAAUCCAGGAGACAGCUCCGCCCAGCAACUGGCCCCAGGUGGGCCGAGUGGAGUUCCGGAACUACUGCCUGCGGUACCGAGAGGACCUGGACUUCGUUCUCCGGCACAUCAAUGUCACCAUCAAUGGGGGAGAAAAGGUCGGCAUCGUGGGACGGACGGGAGCUGGGAAGUCAUCCCUGACGCUGGGCUUAUUUCGGAUCAACGAGUCUGCCGAAGGAGAGAUCAUCAUCGAUGGCAUCAACAUCGCCAGGAUCGGCCUGCACGACCUCCGCUUCAAGAUCACCAUCAUCCCCCAGGUGGGGCCUGGGUGCGGCCCAGGCGGACCCUGUUUUGUUUUCGGGUUCCCUCCGCAUGAACCUGGACCCGUUCAGCCAGUACUCGGACGAAGAGGUCUGGACAUCCCUGGAGCUGGCCCACCUGAAGGGCUUCGUGUCAGCCCUUCCUGACAAGCUGGACCACGAGUGUGCAGAAGGCGGGGAGAACCUCAGUGUUGGGCAGCGCCAGCUUGUGUGCCUGGCCCGGGCCCUGCUGAGGAAGACGAAGAUCCUUGUGUUGGAUGAGGCCACGGCAGCUGUGGACCUAGAAACGGACGACCUCAUCCAGUCCACCAUCCGGACACAGUUUGAGGGCUGUACCGUCCUCACCAUCGCCCACCGGCUUAACACCAUCAUGGACUACACAAGAGUGAUCGUCUUGGACAAAGGAGAAAUCCAGGAGUACGGCGCCCCGUCGGACCUCCUGCAGCAGAGAGGUCUCUUCUACAACAUGGCCAAAGACGCCGGCCUGGUGUGAGCCGCAGAGCUGGCAUAUCUGGUCAGAACUGCAGGGCCUACGUGCCAGUGCCCAGGCAGGAGUCAGUACCCCUGGGAAACCAAGCCUCCCACACUGAAACCAAAAGAUAAAAACCAAACCCAGACAACCAAAACAUACUCAAAGCAGCAGCCGGUGCCAUCCAGUCCCCUGCCUGGAACUGGCCGUGAAGACACGGGAGAGACACAGAGAGGCGAGCUGCCCAAAACAUGCUCGCCCUUGCCCCUGGUGCCCUGAGACACACACACAGCCUCAUGCCCCCGGGAAUACAAGUGUGUUCCUGGUGCUUCCCGCAGACGAGUUUUGGCAGCCAGACUUCUGAAGGAAUUGGUUGUAUAGAAGAUCCUAGUGACCAGAUGCAGCCAGCUGCCUCGGAUCUCUCCAGCCGAAGUCUAUGGACUGCAAGUCUUUGAGAUGCCUCUGGCUUCCGUCACCUCUAACAUCCUUGUCUGGGUCUACCCGGGAUGCUUCAUUUCCUUGGGGCUGCAGUUUUGAGGUUGACGGGCCUGGAGAAAAUCAUUCCCUCCCCUUGGCAGUGUCCCAGGGCCCUGGAUGGUCCUCUUACCAACAUCUGGUCUUCCAGGCACUCAGAAGCUGGGAACCAGCAUCCCAGCGCCAGCUCUACCAGUUCUUGCUUCAGGCCAGAGGCAGCCUCUGCACUCCCAAGCCUGUCCUCUUGGAAGGGACCUGGUUGGACUAACGGAUAACCUGGACCUGGAACUGCAGGGCCAGGGGAUUGUCUCGUAGGGCCAACGUUCCACCUGGGGUUCCCCUCCCUACUCACUCCCACUCCAGGCUUUCCCUUGCUUUUUUCUUUUGCUCAGCAUUGUAAGAACAAUCAACGCCGUUAUUACUGUUCCCACCAUGAUUGAUGUGGGGUAAAUAUUAAGGAGAUGGCCUCAUGGGAAUUUGACAUUGUCUAGAAAUAGAGAUGGAGAGUGAGCAGCCUGCUGGAAGGCUGCUGACCAGUCCUAGCAGGAAGCGUGUUAGGGGCCUUGCCCGAAGCACUGUUGGUUACUUGCAGUGUUGAUUGCUUUUCUUUUUUCUUACCGCCUCUUUGCUUUCCCUCUCAUGGUACCUGCUCAUGGUUAUGAAGCUUUCACAGUAAAGAACACGAAGUACCUCCCAAGUAUUACCAAUGGGUACCAAAAAACGUCCCCUUGAGUCCUCUCCUUUUUUUUAGAUUUUAAUUCUCUCCCUUGGCAUCCGGUUAGCCCCCCGGGGGGGGCGGCAUUGUGGAGAACUUGACGUUUAGUUAUUGAUGCUCUUCCAGGACACGAAAGAACCCAUCUUUGAAUAUCGGUGAUUUUUUUUUUUUUUUUUUAAGUACUGUUCCAGGGAGAAAAACUGUCUCAAAACUUGAACUUCUUGGGAAGAGAAGUGUUGGGCUGAGAAGUCACGUUCCCAGGAAAUAGGAGCUCACCCUGUGUUUGACCGUUUUGGUCUCUGUAUUCCUGGAAGAAAACGGAGAAGCAGCAUCUUUUAAAGCCUGUUCUUUAAUGUAUCUCCGUUGGAGCCCAAAGUGAAAUCCAGAAAGCAGCCAGAGCUGAUGGCUGCCCCAGGACUCAUACCUAGUAAGAAUUACAUCGCCGACUUCAAACCCAGAGAGCAUCUUUCUUUUAGGUGAAAACACGUAUAUUUAUUUUUUGUAAGUUAUACCAUUCUUUCGCAUUAGAUAAACCAAGUUUUGGGGGAUCCUUUUGUAAUGACUUAAACUGGAAAUGUGAACAUUUGCAGUAAAAAAAAAAUAUAUAUCUAUAUAUUUUA